rnacentral:siRNA from 1 species
AAGAAACCGCGGAUGACAUGGAGU